UGCUGAGUGUGAGGUGUACUUACAGAAGCUGAUGGCAGGCUGCUGUGAAGAGCCCUGCAAACCUCUUGAAAAAUGACUGAACCGUUUUCAUUCCCUGGAUGGAUGCGAACGAGGCUGGAGGAAGGAGCACUCUUCAAAUUUCAGUGUCUGCUUUGAUGAGGGAAAGUAAAAGCCUGACCUGGAAAUUUUAACAGACUCGGAGUGCACCGUAGCACACUGAACCCGUGCUAGAAGUGAGGAUGUCCUGGCCCUUUCUGCUCUGAUUUUUGCCUCCUCAAAUGUCUCUUUCUGAAGUUUUUACUGUAUGUUUGGCUGUUGAAAAUUCAGUUUGCGAAGCUGCCGCCUUCUUUGAUCUUUUUUUUUUUUUUUUUUUUUUUGGAGCUCAUUGAGGUCUAAUGAUUAUUAGAGAGGGCAGGUAUUCUUCACUUUAAAUUUAUCAUUUGCAAGUUAAAAAAUAAACAGCAGUAAACAUUUAAGUGCUUUCUCCCCUCUUGCAGUGACCUGUGCUACAGUUAAAUUACUUGGAGGGAGGUGCCACAUCCAGGGUAGAUCAGUUAUUUGCUUGUUGGUGCCAAAAAAUCCAGCUGCCUUCAAUUAAUUCCUAAAAACACACGAGGUUGUUUUGGCAGUAAAGUUUGUGACUUCCUUUUUUCCUUCCCUCAGAGGUGUUUUUCACCCUGUGAUGCUGGGGUGCAAAAGCAGCUUCGCUGAAGUUUCACAUACUGAUGUGAAUUAAACGCUUAGUGUGUGUGUGUGUGUGUGUGCGUGCGCGCGUUUUCAGGAAGGGCAGCAGCAGUGAGAGCUGGCUACAGAACAGGAACUUAUGGUCUCUUGGGGCUCUCAUGGCUGUCUGAACGUUUGAAGGGUAGACCGCUCAGCGGAGGCAGCACUAGAGAGCAUCGACCUCUAUCUCUGCUGUUUGUAGCCAGCUGGAGACCUGCUUUUAAAGCACAAGCUCUGCCUUUGCCUUUCAAGUGCAAGGUAAAAAUCAUGAAGUCUGGAAGGGACAAAAAAAAAAAAAAAAUGCAUUCGCAUAUUCAAACCUGCUGUGGAACAAAGACUUUUUGGCUCAUGCAGAGAAUAUAGUGGGGCUUUUGUUCUGUAACGGGUGGUUGCAUGCAGUAUGAUUUGUAGAGAA
ensembl:lncRNA